rnacentral:rRNA from 1 species
UACGAAGGGGGCUAGCGUUGCUCGGAAUCACUGGGCGUAAAGCGCACGUAGGCGGCUUUCUAAGUCAGAGGUGAAAGCCCGGAGCUCAACUCCGGAACUGCCUUUGAUACUGGAAAGCUUGAGUCCGGGAGAGGUGAGUGGAACUGCGAGUGUAGAGGUGAAAUUCGUAGAUAUUCGCAAGAACACCAGUGGCGAAGGCGGCUCACUGGCCCGGUACUGACGCCGAGGUGCGAAAGCGUGGGGAGCAAACAGG